rnacentral:lncRNA from 1 species
AGAGGAGAACUACACAUGUAAACUUCUAGCAUUUGUCACCAAUAUGAGUACAUCGCAAUCCGUUACUGUUUCAAAACUCAGGGGUUUCAUGUCUGUAUUCUUAAAAAAAAUAUUAUUUGUUCACUCUUUUUUAGCAAUGCAUUAGUUUCUACUGUUCUUAUCUAUUAUUCUAUAGUCUGCGUCUCCAUCCAGAUUCUCGUGUAUACCACGAGGGUCCAGAUCGGGGUGUUGUUUAUUUCUGUGCUAUUUAAAUUGUUAUGUCACUUUUCUUUCAAUUUUAUUUAUCUUACUCAUUAUUCUUUCUCUAUUCUUUAUAUUUUAGCAUCACAAUAUAUUUUACUUACUGAUGUUGAGUUACAUUACGACGUUUAUCUCUGAUUUAUAUACUGGUUACCAAUGUAGAUGACAAAUUGGUGGCAUUCAUGACAAUUAAACAGAAUCCACAUGAUAUAUGCGACCAUUCUUGGAUGAAAUUAAUAUUACUACAAUAUUACACUUUUUGAAACCAUUUUUAUCAAUUUUCAUUUUCCAUUGUCUAAAUUGUUCAUGUGUUGUUUCCGUAUAUUUUAUGUUUCAUUGCCCAUAAGCUGUUUCCGUAUAUUUUAGCCGCUCGUCUUGAGCCUACCCAUUUGAUUCGAUCACAACCAAUAUGCAAUAAAAUUAUACUUUAUUGCCAUUCAUUACUCUUUAACAGACCAAUUAACAGACCGGGUUUUAUACAUCCGACCCAUUAACAGACCAGGUUUUAAAUAAAGAUUGAUUUAUGUUACAAAAAUAUAAAUUUUCGUGUAGAUUUUUCACACAAUGAUAUCAAUAUGGUUAACAAACAUAAUGCCUGUCUUUUUUCGAUGUUCAAAUUCUUACAUGCAAGUAAAUUCAACCAACGUGUCAUUUUGUGUACUUAAUGUGUGUGUAAAAU